AUAGCUCAAGUACUGCAAGUAAACAGCAGCCACAAGUUUUAGAGGGGCUGGCUGUGGAAGUGAACCUAUUUAGCUUUACAGUGUUUACUAUCAAUUAGCAUGGCACAAUAUCUAGGAUGCCACUAUUACUUUAUUAUUUGAAAAGUAUAACUGCAAAACAAAUGUCAUGUGCACCACAACAUAGUAACUGAGGAAAUUCUGAAUUCAGCUGUGUUGCUAAAAGUUAGGAAUGUGUGUUUGAGCUGUGACUGGGAUCUGUGGCUGCCUAUUAGGGUUUUCAGUUCUACUUCAAGUGAAUGGAAAGGCUUCAACUAACUUCACAGGAUUUUUGGAUGGAAUUGGUAGUUGCAUGAAUGAUUGGACUGUUUCUUCCAAGCAUAAAGAUGUACAUGAUGGGAGCUGAAGCCUGAUGAAGGGACUUGGAUCCUGAAAGCUUGCAGAAAAGGACAGUUUUCUUGCGAUUUCCCAGUUGGUCUAGUAAAAGGAAUAAUUUGCCAUUCAACUCUUGCAUUAAGAAGUCAAUUAUCAUCAAACAGUAAAUGAAAAGGAAGAUAGAUGCCUGAAAUAAAGAAGACGUGUCUAGAAGGGGAGAAAAUCAGUGACCUAGCACUAUGCUGAAAUCUGCAGUGUGCUUCUGUUAAUGCCAGCUGACUGCACUCCAUCUGCAGAAAUAUUCUUUCCCUGCUACAUUGUCAGUAUUCAAUUAAACACACAUUUACUUUACAUUACAUUGGAAAUGUACAUUAGCAUUCUACCGUACUACGGAAUGGGGCCCUAUGUACAGCCAUAAUGGUUCACAUGUUUUAUCUUGUUCUCACACAGUUAUCUCUUGGAGAAUUCCUUUUUUUCUUGUAAUUCACUUCUUUGCAUUAUAUGAAUUUACCUUCCUACUUCCUAUAUGCAAAUUCCAUUUAAAAACGUGCUUUUUUUUUCAUGGACUCUAUGCAUUUACACCUACUCUGGUCUGUCAUUCAGUAGAUCAUCUCUCUGUCUCUCUCUCUCUUGCUUUCUAAUUUAGAAUUUAAACCCACAGGGUGUCUCCAGAUGAGCAGACAAGGCGUUUUGGGUAAAUUUGAUAUCUUUUAUUAGACCAACUAAAAUAGUUGGAAAAAUACUUCUUUGCAGGCUUUCAGGUACAAAUACCCUUCAUGUAGUUUGCAGUGCUGCAGAAAUGUCUGUGUGUUCAUUGCACUGCUAAUUUGCAGUGUGGCGGGUUUUUUAUGACAACUGGAGAUCCUGGUGUCAGAAAAAGACUGUGGAAGAAAAAAUGGGGCAGUGCACAUUGUGGCAGUAUAUACCAUCUGAAACUGGGGCCUGGUCUUCCAGAGCUAUGCUCUGGCUGCUGGACAGACUCUGACUGCCUGGAUCACCACUGCUGAAGCCCCAGCAGGCCCUCAGGACUGCAGGUGCUGGCUCCAUCCUCUCCUACCCCACCCAGGGUAAUGUGCUGCAUGCCAAAGCGUGUGUUCAGGGGCAUUCCCUGGAGACAAGUAGCUGUGGCACAACUAUGUGCCACUACUAUUUAUCCUCAUGGAAAUGCACAUGCACACUCAUCUGGAUGUGUCCACAGGGGCCAAAGUGUUUGUUUUUUCUUUUUCUAAAUCUCAAAGUACUUUAUGAUUAUUCAAAUACUAUUUUACAUAUUAUUAAAAAACGUGAUCACUAACUAAUAUAUAUAUAUAUAUUAGUGGUCUUUAUUUAAGGUAGGGAUUCUAGUUACCAGCAUAAGGCAGCAAACAAUUUUGUGGCCAUUAAAGACUAUUCCUGUAGUUAUCUGUAUAGUGAGUUUCUACUUCUUAAAUGUGGCUUUCUAGUCUCAUCCUGAACAGCUAAUCUGUUAAUAUUAUUAUCUUUCCUUUUGUAAACAUGAAGGGCAGGAAAGAAUGGUAGCACUCUAGUACAUUUGAAUUGUAUUUAAUGAUGGAAAUGAUAUUGAUUAAAUGCAAAAAUGAUUAUAAUGACCAGCAUUUCCUUUAUUAUAUAAGUUAAGGUGCAGUGUUAGGUGUAUAUUCUUGGGAACAGGAGAAAUCUAUCUUUGCAUCACAUACACCAUUUGCAAUUAUCUUAUGAACUAGUGAUUCUCAUCUGCAGUGAAAGGAAUUUCCACUUCUUUUAUAUUGCAUUAUCAUGAGACUCCUAAUUCCCCAUUGUCCCAGGCAAUGUCAGUAGUGUAACCAAGAUGGGAGAGACAGGGCACAUCUACACAAGAUGCUAAUUGCGCAGUAGCCUAAUAACACUUCACAGUACUGUGCUGGGCAAAACCUGAGCUAAUAAGUUACUGCAAAGUAGUAUUAGGCUACUGUGCAAUAAGUGUCACUGAAUAGCUAUGUGCUGGUACUACUACUCAGUAGUGUGAGUUACUAAGCAUUGAUUUAGUACUUGGUUAACCAAGUACUAAACUUAAUGUGCAGUUACUACAGUGCAUUAAUGAAUGUGUAGACACACCCAUAGAGAAGCAGCUCUCGCUGUGAGCUUAAGAAGUAGGUGGAAAAAUAAAAGCUGCUGUUGUUGCCAUGCUGCCAGCUGUCAGAAAUUGCUGCUGCUUCUGUACCAUCAUUGCUGCCCCAGCUGCAUUGUUACAUCCCUGGAAAAUAAACAAACAUACAGCAAAAAACCUAUUCCAGACCAGUAUAGCUGUGAGUCUUUAGCUAUCUUCAAAUGUAUUUUAAAGUUACAAAGCUAAUAAAGAAAUAACUAUACAAGAUCCUUUGUGAUAUGCAUCACAGUUACAUUUUAGCUCUUCUAUUUUGUUUACCACUGGUACAUUAAUGUUGCAAGUGAUUAUAUAACAUGAAAGAUAUAUCCCCAAAACUAAACAUCUGAUCUCUGAAACAUGAACAGUCAGAGUGUUUAUUGACAGGUAUAGUACUGUUAGCUGUGAGGAAAAGAUUGAUCAGAAACAGAAAGGCUGCCUAUACACAUGCUCUGAGGUCGGGGAGGAGAGGGGCAUUUUAAUUAGAGCAGUUCCUGGACAGCCACUCCAAUUAAAACAGCUCACUGUCACAUGUAUGAAGCCCCUGCACACUUAAAAAUGGCUUCAGGAUGCUUUAUUUAAACCUCAUUUGAAGAGGUUUAACUAAAGCACCCCCAUGAACAUUUUAAAAUGUGUGGGGGCUUAAUGCACAUGAUGGCGAGGUGAUGCUAGAGUGUUCUCAUUAAAAUAUGAAUAUGUGAUCUAAUUAGAACAUGAAUGAGCAUGUGUAUAGGCAGCCAAGGUCCCAUUAGCUUUACUUAUAUUAUGCCCAGUAAUAAGCUUUGUACUGGAAAUAGGGAGCUGCAGGAUUGAGUCAGAAGUUACUCUUACAACAUGCCAUUUUCAACUGCUAUAAGUGCAGAAGUAUAAGGAUCAGAUCCAAAAAUGCUACUUCCAUUUAAACAUAAGAAAAAAAUCCAGAAAUCUAUGCAUGUCUUUGCUGAUUUACUAAGAAAAAUCAGUAUUCAAAUAUCAUCUGAAUUUCUGCUUUGUUCACCCUGAAGCAGGUUUCAUAUUAGUAUCCUGCAAAGUUGUAACGACUCAAAUUUUUUUCAAAGAAGACUUAUAUUUAUUAUAAAACUUACCUCUAACUUUAUUUAUUGGCUGCUGCCUAUAACUGGGCAUGUGAUAAAAUGCCAUUUUCAGAUUUAGGAUAUAUUGUAAAAAACUCAAGACCUAUUGCUGGGACAUGACACGAAAAUGGAAUAAAAAUGAAAGUCUGUUUGGUGACAAACACAAAAAAAAAUUCAGUCUAGUAAUUCCCUGUAAAUAGGGUGUCGGGGGGAGGAAUCCUGAGGAUUCUCAAAAAGAUGACUUUCUACAGAGGAAUUCAAACUGAAUAUGAUUUUAGUUUUAUAAAUUUCUAAUGGAGAGAAGGUCAAAUUUUACCUCUUGCAUACAUUUAGAUGCUGAUAAUAAGGUAUUGAAUAUUGUCUGUAGUAUUUACUAGAGAAUACAAACUUAUUCCAAUUGCAAAAUUUCAUCAUUUUUAAUGGAAAAAUAAUUAUUUUCACAGAUUUUACCUAUAAAUUGUUUCACUAAAAUCCUAUUCUAUAAUCAUUGCAAUUUGUAUGUAUAUAUCUCAAACACUAUGCAAAUUGCCACCAGAAUGUAAAUAUUAGCUCUGUUCAUUGACUCCAAUUCUUCAUUUCUCCCUAAAAAAAAAAAAGUUUCCAAAAUUAUGAGUUAUCUCAUUUCUAUUGACUAUUACACUCAUUUGAGGUGUAUGUGAGAAGAAAUUAUACUUCAGACCCAGUUCUGGUCCAGCUGCUACUGGAAGUUAAUAUCCAGAUAGUUAGCUGAUCAGGUGUCAUUUGUCUGCACACACAUUUAUGACCCUUUGGCACAGCCAAUUUCUUGGCACCCAAAUAAAGUCAGUUACUAUAAGAACCUUGCACAGGUCUUCAGGCCUUAUGCAUGUAAAUCCAACUUCCUCUCUACACAGACACAGUUAUAGUUCUGCCCUAGUCUUCUGUGUAUCCUUUACCAGGUCUUCCUCUGAAGCCACAGGCUAAGUACAGCCAGUCAAAAAGCCAUGUGGCACAUCACAGCGCUUCCCUGCCCCCCACCACAGCUUGCUGUCUGUGCACACUCCCAGGAACAGGGCUAGUGGGGCGCGGGCAGCUGUGCCCCUCUGCAAGCCCCACACGUGCUACCCAGCUGGGUGGGGGUGCAGUUUGUAUGUGGUGGCCAGCACCACUGUUGCUGCACCCUGCACUGCUUUCCCUCAGCCCCCAUCUACCGCUGGCCGGGUGGGCGGGCACUCCUGCAUGGAGCUGGGGUUUGAACAUGGUGGCUGCCACUGCACUGUCACUGCUGCACCCUGUGCUGCAUUUCUGUGGCCGGUCACACGUCCAGCUCCACAGGAAGGCAGUGUGGGGCCUGAAGGAAAGUACGGGAAGACACCAAGGGAGAUGUUGCUGCUGCGCCCCAGGGUGCAGUCUGUCCCUUCCCACCUACCCACCCAUUUUCCCCCCCCCCACUAUUCUUGAUCUGUCUCCCCAUCCCCUUCCCUUUCCCCUGCACUGCCCCUUCCCCGCACAUACACUUACCUGCUGGGGUGUGCCUGUGUUUCUGGGGCUUGGGGGCAGUUGUAGGGGGAGUGAGGAGAACUAGCAAGGCUGUGGGUGGGCCUUUAAUUUUCAUCAUGGAUUGUGGGGUUUUUAUCAGAGGAUCUGCAAUUUUUUUAUCAGAGAAUUUGUGAUUUCUUUAUCAGGGAAAACCAGGAUCCCUGCCCAUCAGUGGUGGCUGGUCAAGAGGGGGUGCUCGGGCGCUGGCCCACCGGUUUCAAAACGAGACACAACCUGCGUCAGCUAAGUAAAUAAAUAAAAAUAAUAGUAUCGUUAAUUAGAAACAGCAUCAGUUGAAUUAACUAUGUAAACAAAAGUAGUAAUAAUUUUUUUCUUGCCUAUGUCUGCUAGUAACAUAAUCAAUGAUUAUGCUUGUCCAUUAUGCAUACACAACAAAAAGUUCAGUAUACGCAGUAAGCACCUUGGGGUGAUCCCCUUACUGCCCAAGUGGCGCAUGAGCAGUAAAAACACCUGAACAGUUUGAACGAAUGGCAAUCAUCAUUUGUUUAAGCCAGCAGCAGAGCGCCUGUACUGAUGCCUCAGCCUGGAUAAAGAGCUGUUACCUAAGAAACCAUGGGACACCCCCAACCCUGCCUGGAAUGGCAAGGGAAGCGGGAGGGAGAGGGGAAAGGGCAAGGCCUGAUGCUGUCAGUCACCCAAGGCUUGGCUAAGGCUCGCUCUCCUUCUGGAGCCUGUGAGGUAAGUGGGGUUUGCAGAGAGCUAGAGGGUUGCAGGGAUGGGUGGGAACUGGCUGGGGACUGAGGGAGUAGGGAGGUUUGCAGCCUGCCAGGCACUCCGACUGGGAACUGGGGCUUGCAGUCGGGGAGCUGGGAGUUUGCAGCUGGGGAACUGCGGGGUUUAGUUUUGAUAAACAUAAAAAAUUACGUCAUGUUUUAUAGAAUUGCUUUCAUAAACAAACAAAAAUUGAAAAAAAAAUAAAAUAAAAUAAAAAAAAGAGUUGAAACUGGAUGAUACAGUGUGAUGCUCCACCCGCCCCACCUGUCUGAGUUCAUCAUCCAUGCCUAAGUCCCAUACCAUUGCCAGCUCCCUUGAGUCAGGCAUUUGUCCAUGUGGGGGGAGCCCUACACCAGCCUGGGCUCCUCCUAAACUCUGGUCUGCUUAGCUAUGUGGAGUUCUGCACCAACGGUGGCUUCCCCGCUGUAUGCCUGGGUUUCUCAAACAGGAGAGAGGAAGGAGUCCCCUAUCCUGGUGUUGGCUGCCCCAUGGUGUUGUUAGGGUAGCUUGUCAUAUUUUAUGUUUUAAAGUUGCACCUGUUUACAGAGUGGUGAAUUACAGUAUUGUUUAAACUUUUGUUUUCAGCCUUAAUUGUUGCUUAAGUUCUGUAUAGCCUCAUUAUUAUCUGAACUCUUCAUUUUCCUUAUCAGCUAGCCUUGAGUUGUUUUCACACAUCUCAUAGUGCUCAUUUAUAUAUUGUAUCUUUUCUCUUAUACCACUGUGAGAAGUUCUUCUAACGUGACAUAGUAAUAGUCUUCUUACCAGCUCAAAUGAGCUGAACUUGGCACUAACUAGCUGAAUCAGAGGGAUGAAAUGAUUAGAUAUGUUAAUGAAAGGUGAUGAGGGAAACCAAUGGACAAUACCCAAAGUAAGACAUGGAAAAAGACCAAAUUAAGAGGUGCACAUGUGAUGGGUUUGUUAAGCAAAUAAAUAUGCUGACAGGAUAAAAUACGGACAGUAUGCUGACUGCAGAGAGACCAAUCCGAAAGCAGAGACAUCAGAGGAGUGAAGUUAAAGAAAAGCUUAAAAGGAGACAGCAAGAAAUUUAAGUGCGUGUUGUCAUAAAUUCAGGAAAACAUCUGUCUGUGCCAGCCAUAAAGAUUGUCCACUGAUGCCACCCACUGCGUUCAGGAAAUGAUGGGCUAUCGUUUCUGCAGGGCAGUGUAUCAUCUGGAUUGUUGAGUGAGAUUAUUGUUCUGAAUGUUUUUCUGUCUCAGAAUACAAAAACUGCUAAGAUAAUAUUUAUUGUACUAAUAAAGUUAGACUUUGAUUUUA